rnacentral:rRNA from 1 species
UACGGAGGGUGCAAGCGUUGCUCGGAUUUAUUGGGCGUAAAGGGUAGGUAGGUGGUCUCAUUUGUCUGAGGUGAAAGCCUUGAGCUUAACUCAAGAAGUGCCUCAGAAACGGUGAGACUAGAGUCCUGGAGAGGGUCGUGGAAUUCCCGGUGUAGCGGUGAAAUGCGUAGAGACCGGGAAGAACACCAGUGGCGAAGGCGGCUACCUGGACAGGUACUGACGCUGAAGCGCGAAAGCUAGGGGAGCAAACAGG